UAAGGGAAGACGGACCUAUUCUCGGAAUGGAGUUUGAUCCCUUGCCACCUGGUGCAUUUGGUGCACCAAUUGUGGCAGCCAUGCAGCACAAACCAGCCGGACGACCUUUUGAAGCUCAAAUCUAUGAGAGACCAGAUGUUAAUGCAAUCAAGGGUACCACAAGGACUUUGCGUGAAUACCAGUUUCUUCCAGAGCAACCAUCAAAUAGAAGCGAUAGCUAUGAACAAUCUGUACCAUCUCAUCAUUACCGUUCAACUGAAGUUCAGAGCACCAGAGCCAUCUUAUCAACUGGGAGGUCAUUUAUUCAUGGAAGUGAGCAAGUGGCCUCUGGAUGCAGUAUUCCUGGUCUGAUCCCGACUUUAAAUCUUCUGCCUCAAGGGAGGCAGGGUCACAUAUCUCCAGCUUCUGCUGAG
rnacentral:misc_RNA from 1 species